UACAGAUACCUAAGAUAGUCAAGUUAUCAAGAGAAAAGGUUUGUUUUGGCUCACAAUUUUAGAGGCUUCAGUCCACAAUUCUGAGGAUGCAGCACCAAACAGACUACAACAGUUAUUGGAGUCCAUAGUUGUUUUGCAAUAUGAAGUCCUUCCUGCUUUCACAGUUGGAGAACUUUUAGGUUCCUUGGAGAAAAUGUCAAAAAUUCAGAUAAGAAUGAAGAGGAAGAGGAAAUCACCCCAUUCAUCCCUGUAGGAGUGCCUGGGGAGGGCAACCUACAUCCAAGGCCCUUGCCUUCUGACUUUACUGAGCUUUGCCAAUAAUGCCAGACAUCGAAAUGAGCUUUGUCUCAUGAUCCCUGACGACCAGCUCUGAGAUCUACAUGAUGGAUUCAAUCCCAUGUAUACACUAGCACCCGGGAUACACCCAGGCCAUGUGAUGUUGUCAUAUCACAUUACAGGCUCAGCCCCAGAGUCCAGAAGCUGACAUUAAAAUGGUGCAUGUGACAGAAAUGUGGCCUUGCAGGACCUCAGAAAGAGUUCCAGAUGAGGUCAGCUGUCCUUCAUAAAUCAAAAGUUGGCCAUAGCUCAUUCCUUGAUAUGGAACAGUUCUGGCCUUCCACCAUUGUGGCACAAUGGGAAAUGUAAAAUUUUAAAGAUGACAACUGCCUUCAAAUCAAGGUGAUUAUUGAUUAUUCCAGGAUGGUGGAAAGUUUCUGCUCCAUGCAGUCAUUCAGGAACCCAAGAUGAUGGAAGGUCUUCAACUGGUUGCCUUGCUCAUCAUUGAUACCAUUCAGUCUUCAGGAAAGAAGAACAACAUGCAGGUUUUUUGGGCCCCAGCUUGGCGAUUGGAUACAUCACUUCCACCUUUUUUCCAUAGGAAAGAACAUACUCCCUUUCUUCAAGGAACUAUAGAAACCACCAAGGAAGGGGAGAAUGGAUUUUGAUGGACAAUUGGCAGCUUCUGACUGUGAGAGAGGCAAAACAAUGAGAAAACAGGUGUGCAUGCCUCAGUACGAGGUUGGAGGUGGAACUUAGGAUUUGAGAAAAGGUUGAAGUCAGUAUGGAGUGAAGGUUCUGUAUGGGUUGCUGAGGAGAGGGGAUAUAAUGGGACAGAAGAACAUACACUGGAUAAAUGGAGAAAAAGGGUGAGAGGCAGAGGAAGGGAUGCCUUUUCCUUGCCUUUCUGAACUUCCUCCUUUUCAACUGGAGUCCCUUCUUUUUAUUUUAAAUGCCAGUGUUAUAAUGAAACAGAUGACUGUGUCCCUUUUUGAUCACACUUUGACCGUCCGACUCAGACUAUCCUAAUUUUCUCUUUUCUUUCUCUUCUGCACAACUCCUUACAUGUGUACACAAGCAUGCACACAUACCCCUUGCAAACCUUGCCUUUUGUUCUUGUUUCAUGUGUUUCUUCUCUCAUCUUCAUUUGACAGUCAGUGACCUAAGGACUAAGAUAAGUUCAUUCAUUUCCAUGCUGGACAUUGCGUUGGGGACUAUAGUCACAAAACUACAUCAAACAGAUUUCUUGCUCUUGAGAAACAUGCAACAAGAAAGCGAAGACUCUAAACCCUGACCAUCAUCUAAUUUGGAUCCUUACUCCAAUCUUGUGUGUCUGACAAGAUAGAUAUUAUUAUGCUCAUCUUUUAAAUGAGGAAUUUAGAAAUCAUAAGUUAACUGACUUCCCAAGUUAGGCAGCUAUAUGUCUGGUGAUGGAAGUUUUUCCCCUACUUGAGGCUACCCCACUGCUGUUCCAACCCACUCGGCUCCUCUGUGCUGGUUCCUUGAUCAUUUUUAUCUAUAAUUAGGCUCAGUAAGUAAAAUAGUGUAUUUAUUAUGAUCAAUUUUUAUUUUGUAAUUUCACUCUAAUCUUGUAUUGUCAGCUAAAAUAUUUCUUCUUCAAUUUUGACUUCAGAAAAAGAAUACAUUCAAAACAAGAAGCAUAUUUUAAAAGUAAAACAUGAAGAACAGACUUCUAAAAUAUAACCAAUAUUUAUCAAAUAUAAGCUUUGUGGGAAAUUCUAGAGUUGGGAAGUUAAUGGAAAAAUAUGCUCUAUUCUUAUCAAAAUUAUGCAGUACGAAGUUAUCUCACUUGUGUUCCCUGUGGUCCCUCACGCCAGGCAUCCAUCCAUCCAUCCACCCAUCCAUCCAUUUUUUCCCUAAGAACAUAUUUAUCAUGUGCUAGUAUAUGCUGGGUGCUGUUUGGGUUCUGAAAAUAUAAAGACAUAGAUUCUUCCCUGAAGUGGGAAGGCAGUGGAAGAAAAAUUACAGAAUAUUUCUUAGCUCCUGAAUCCCUUGUUUCAAGGCAAGGUCCAAGUCUGGCUCCCCAGAACAGAAAGCUAUACCUUGGACCUUUCCUUGCCUUGCCUAUUGACUCUAUCAGUAAAAGAUAAAAAAUUUUUUUUCUCUCAUAUGAGACGUGGAACUCUUUAUCUCAAGAGCUGUCACAUGCUAAAAAUAUAAACAAACAGCUUAACAAAAACAAAAGUGUUAAGUUCAUGGGUGACAUUCAUAUCUAGCUCCAAGUGAAAGCUGGGACACUUAUUGCUUCUGAAAGUUAUAACAAGGACAGCCAAUAACAGCUUCUAUGUUCCUUCUGAAUCACUGUCACAAGAAAAUGGAGAGGAACAAGAGAAAGAAAGAAAUGAAGACUAUAGUUCACCACAUUGUGUUUCCAUAUUAGGAAACCUCAAUGAUUUUUUUUUUUUCCUAGUAACGUUCUGAGGACACGUUGAAAGUAAUAUGUCCUUUUGGGGGGAGAAAAUUCUGCAAAAAUAUUGAAUACUUCUGACAAAAAUGGAACAUGGCUUAUUUACUAUCUAAACUAUACAUAGAUUUGAAUAAUCUCUGUAUUAGAGUUGUGUUUGUCUCAAAGAAGGGAAAUAAUAUCUGAAAUAAAGAAUCAAAAAUGG